rnacentral:tRNA from 1 species
UAGCUUAGUGGUAAAGUGCUUGCCUAGUAUGCAUGAAGCCUUAGGUUCGAUUCUUUA